rnacentral:rRNA from 1 species
GACGAACGCUGGCGGCGUGCUUAACACAUGCAAGUCGAACGGAACGGCCCUGCUUUUGUGGGGUGCUCGAAUGGCGAACGUGUGAGUAACACGUGAGUAACCUGCCCUUGACUUUGGGAUAACUUCAGGAAACUGGGGCUAAUACCGGAUAGGAGCUCCUGCUGCAUGGUGGGGGUUGGAAAGUUUCGGCGGUUGGGGAUGGACUCGCGGCUUAUCAGCUUGUUGGUGGGGUAGGGGCUUACCAAGGCUUUGACGGGUAGCCGGCCUGAGAGGGGGACCGGCCACAUUGGGACUGAGAUACGGCCAAGACUCCUACGGGAGGCAGAAGUGGGGAAUAUUGCACAAUGGGCGGAAGCCUGAUGCAGCAACGCCGCGGGCGGGAUGGCGGCCUUCGGGUUGGAAACCGCUUUCGCCUGUGACGAAGCGUGAGUGACGGGAAUGGGUAAAGAAGCACCGGCUAACUACGUG